UCUAAUAAGGAUACAAUUCUUACGCCUUCAAGUUCUGGUUGCGGUUUAAGUUUUUAUACUCAAUCAUACACAUGACAUCAAGUCAUAUUCGACUCCAAAACACUAACCAACCUUCUUCUUGCUUCUCAAAGCUUUCAUGGUGUAGGCAAAGCCCGUAUGAGUCUUUGGCUUUGUGUCUUCUAACAAGGAUACAAUUCUUAUGCCUAUAAGAUCCAGUUGCGGUUUAAGUUCUUAUACUCAAUUAUACACAUGACAUCAAAUCAUAUUCGACUCCAAAACACUAACCAAACUUCUUCUAGCUUCUCAAAGCUUUCAUGGUGUAGCCAAAGUCCGUAUGAUUCUUUGGAUUUGUAUCUUCUAACAAGGAAACACUUCUUAGGCUUAUAAGAUCAGGUUGCGGUUUAAGUUCUUAUACACAAUCAUACACAUGACAUCAAGUCAUAUUCGACUCCAAAACACUAACCAACCUUCUUCUUGCGUCUAGAAGAUUUCACGAUGUAGCCAAAGUCCGUAU
rnacentral:sRNA from 1 species